UACAUAUACCAGGUCUUCACUUUUAUGCUUGAUUUGUUUUACAUUUUUUUAUGUCGGAGUCUAUCAUAGUUUGAUCUUCGAUAGGGCAAUUUGAUGCGUGAAGCUUUGAUAAUUGUGUCCACGUUUGCAUAUGCCAAUGUUUUAUUCUAUUUUACUGGAACUUAUAUAGUUAUAAGAAGAUGUGGUAUAAGUGUCAAUGAGACAACUCUCCACCAUAGUAACAAUUUGUAAAAGAAAACCAGUUUAGGUCAAAGUGCGGUCUUCAAUACGAAGCCUUGGCUUACACUGACCAGCAUGCUAUAAAUGGCCCUACGAUAUGACGAGUGUAAAACCACUGAAUCAAACGGGAAAACCAACGGUCUAAUUUAUAUAAAAGACGAGAAACAUUAAUGAAUCACAUCAACAAACGACAACCACUGAACAUCAGGUUUCUGACUUAGGACAGGUGCAAACCAAUGCAGCGUGUUUAAAUUUUUAAUAGGCACAAACCUUCACCCUUAUCUGAAACAAUAAUGUAACAUCACAACAUAGAAAGACACAAUACAAAAUAUCAAUUGAACUUGCUUUUCUCAAUGUAAAUAUAUAUGAACACACA
rnacentral:lncRNA from 1 species